rnacentral:rRNA from 1 species
AACGGAUAUCUCGGCUCUCGCAUCGAUGAAGAACGUAGCGAAAUGCGAUACUUGGUGUGAAUUGCAGAAUCCCGUGAACCAUCGAGUCUUUGAACGCAAGUUGCGCCCAAAGCCAUUAGGCUGAGGGCACGUCUGCCUGGGCGUCACACA